CUCAUUAAUAAUUCAUAAGCUCACUGGCAAAUCAUGUCAACCAUAAUAUGUCACGUGCAGUGGCUUUAAACCUGAUAAAACACUCCUAAUUAGUAUUCUUUAUAUAAAGAAUACUAAUAAGGCAGUAUCUAUUGUAGUCGUGUCCUCAUUAGUAUUCAAUAAUAAUAAUAAAAUAAUAAUAAUAAAACACUCAUUAAUAAUUCAUAAGCUCACUGGCAAAUCAUGUCAACCAUAAUAUGUCACGUGCAGUGGCUUUAAACCUGAUAAAACACUCCUAAUUAGUAUUCUUUAUAUAAAGAAUACUAAUA